AUUCAUCUCUGACAGACCUGGAACAUUAAUAUCAGCUGCUAAGUUUUCCACCAUAGAUGCAAGAAAAAAAGGUCCUUGUGUUUUCUGUCUGUCUGUCUGUGGUACCCAAGAUUGAAUGGGGGAAUACAGGG
rnacentral:snoRNA from 1 species